GGAUUCGGGGGCCGCGCCUGGCUUGCUUGCCUCCAUCUGGGGAGUCUCCACGUCGGAGGAGCCUGGGGACUCUCGGGACACUGAGGAGCAGUGGGAACUUGGGGAUACGGGACGCGAAGGGGUAUCCUCUACUAUGUCUGUGGUGGAAGGACCUGUCCCGAGCUGCUGGCUGGACUGUCCCCCCCCCUGUUUUUCCCCAGGAGCCGUGGCUGCCUGACUUGAGCUGCUGCAUUGUGCGAGUGACUCUAAAACUGUUCUCGCUGAAGGUUUCUCAUAGUGAUCUUACAGUUACCUGAGACGAGACCUCUCUGCUCUGUUCCUUAAGAUGUCAGAAAACCAAAAGUCUAUUUCUUCAAAACUGAUAAUUUUGGUCAAGACUCAAUCAUCUGAAUACUUUUGAAGAAUACAGAUUCAGGCAAUGCAAGGACUCAAGAGGAAGGAAGAACUAAAAAAGGAGGCCCUGUACAUUGUACUGAACUUCUUCAUGAGGUUUCAAGGUUUGCUGAGUGUCUCUGCCUGAUACAAAUUCUGUGGGCGCUGUAACCUUGGCUUGCCUGCUCCUCUGUGCCUGGUUUCCAGUGUUGCAGGGGGUCAUAUUUCCACAAUAUAGAGUGGAACAGUCACCAGGGAAGUAUCUUGUUCCUGGUAUAGGCACUGACAGGCCUUCACUGAUUUUUGAAAUAAGAAGUUUGGUUCCUAAAUCUUCAGGACAGGAACAGGAAUUAAAGCAGUCUGGGAAAAUGCUUCUGCUGUAUUAUAGAAGAGAUGCGGUUCCUCAGCUAAAUUAGGAACAGAAAAGUGAAUUAACCUUCCUCUCUACUUGAAAAAGGAGAAAUAUGCUUCCCCUUCUCUAUAUUUUACUCGAGUCACACAGAAUUCCUUCUGUUAUUAAAUAAGCAGCUCUGUGAAUCAGAAAUAAUUCCAAGCUGGAAAGCACACAGUUCAUCCUGGAAGUAUGAUGGUGGAUAUGGGGGCCUAGGACAAGAGAGAGCCACAUGGGCUUUUAUAGGAGAAGACAGAAAACAGCUAGCUAACUUUGUAUUGUCUUUUUAGGAUCCAUUCCUAAAAAUACUUGACAUUAUCUGCAUAUUGUGUGAUAUUAAAAAAAAAAAAUCUAUAAUAUGAAGGUUUUCCAUGGAGACCUAAGUCUCAGAGAUGCAGUCACCAUGCCAGGUCACUAUCACGGUGGGAAAAAAACAAAACUAAUGGGUUUAUUUUUAAAUACAAGCAUUUCAUAAUGAAUAUUCAGCAAGACAGCUGCAGCCUAAAAAUCAUCCUGGAUACAGAAAAGAAUGGUUUCAAAUAAUCAUUGCACAUAUGAAAAAAUCCAGAGCAUUCCUCACAGGUUUACCUCUAGGCUAGGAAUUUCAGAUUAUAUUUUUUUGCUAUGUGUGAUAUCUAUACCUAAGCAGUAUUUAAAGGCAAUUUAGAAAAAUGAAAAAAAAUGACACAUCAGGAAGUAAGUAAGAUUCUUGAUUCCAGAAAUAAUCAUUUGCCACUUGAAAAUGAUCAUGUGUGGGAGUAAGAAGAUAAUUUAGAAACCUUAGCUUGGGAGUUUUUCUUCUUUCAACUCAAUGAGAAGGCAGAAUCUCAUUCUGUACUUGUACAGUCAACAUUAGAACUAAAAUUGUUUUAGUGGUGUUCACCCUACCUAUGCUGGCCUCUUAAAGAACAGGAGAACAAAGGAAAUUAACAUUUCAACCUUCCCUGAAUCACCACUUAGUCAUUGUAAAAUCAUGGGGUAAUAAACCACAGUCUGUGGAGAAAAAGUAAUGAAACUGCAAAAUUCAAGCAGGACAGCACCCACCCCCCUCAAAUGAGGAUGGAUGGCUUCAUAGUUGUGUAUAAGGCACUGAUGUUCAAUAUUUCUCCCAUCUAGAAAGUUAUUUUAACUGUAUACAGAGCAAUGUAAUCCAGCCACCUUAAAAUUAAUGGCAAAUUCCUGCUUGUUGCCAGUACCAUUGGAACCAAUAAUGUUAUUUUGCAGAUUUAUACGGCUGAUACUACUGAUCAAAACAUGAAAUUUCCUUGUUGGCUACACUGAAUAAGUAUGAACAACAGCAUAUUUUUAGACCAUCACCUAUGCUGGUAGCAAUUAGGCUUAAAAAAUGACAAAGAUCUCAUUCACAGAAAAUUUCCAGACAUUUCUCUUUUCAAAUUAUAAACUUGGGUAUCACUUAUUGAAUUAUUCAUUCUGCACUUUCUGUGUAAUACAGAAAGUAGGCAUGAAACUGGGGAUUCUAGUUAUCCAAAGCCAUCUUAGUUCAGAAGGUUAAUUUUCAUUUCUACAAGUGAAAGAUUCAUUCUCUAUUUCUGUGCCCCACUGCAUCUGAAUCCCUGAAUGAUCCCUACAGAAAAAGUGUAAAGGAGCAAAGCUGUAAGGCUAUUUCAAGUCUAUUUCAAGUACUGUAGGAGUUUGACAGUAUUUCAUUUUUCAGCAUAUGCUAAAACACUGUGGGAUGACUUUUAGUUUCUGCAGCUUCAUGCAGAUAAAUAUGGCUAGAUAGGAUCUGGAUGUUUCCUGCAGUCAGAGAGAUGUAAGCACAGCACCAGCAGGUUCCUUUCUGCAGUGAGGUCCUAAUAGAGAACAGCCAUGCUGGAGCCCUCCAUAACCAGUCACAGCAGCUGGAAUCCAAGCACAAAGAAACAGAGACCACAUCGAAGCUCAUUUGCCCUGUUCACAAAGAAAGGCUAUGCAGGAGCUGAAUUAUACUUUACUACAGCAGCCUAGUUCACUUGGGGCUAUACCUCAAACACUGGUGGAUCACUAAUUUAUGAUGACUAACUGAAGAUGUCUCAUUUUUAAAAGAAAUGGUUCAAAGCCAGAAGAAAUAAUGAGAAAGGGGGGAAAAAAUCCUGUUAUGUGACCCAUUUCAAGCUUAACUCUAUAUAUGCUAUUCCUGCACAGUGAACUUUUUGGUCCCAUUUUAUUUUCUGUUCUCUUAUUCUGUUGGAGGUAGUGCUGUCAACCAUUUCCAGCUGAGACCUUUUCAAUUCUGAUACUCUAAGGGCUCUUUUAUAUCUCCACAGCUCAGCAGAAGGAAGCCGAGGCAACAGAAGAUAAAAUGUUUUUCUUCCCCUUUUAUGACUGUUGCCAUUCAGUCAACUGAGGUGGCACUGAUGGCACAAUAAAACCACCACCAUGAAGCUUAACGAGUCCCACAGUAGUGUGCAAAUUUUAAGAACAUCAGGCUGGCCAUUUGCAACAGGGGAGUUCUGUCUGGACCUGGAUUCUGGUUAUGAAAGUGGCCAUCAGCAGAUGUUCAGGGACAGAGCAUCAGAAGACUGUUCCAGUGAGAGGCAAGACCCUGUUUAGAAACCUGGAGUUAAAGGCUGUGUCUGGACUGUGGUGUCUGAAAAGCACCAAUUCACCUCCAGGGCUCAUUUAUUCCUUUGGUUUCCAUGCAGCUCUUCAAAGCCCUAGUGACAGGCAGGUAAAUAAAUAUUAUCUGCUUUUAACAGGCAGAAGAAAAUGUGUUCUAUAAUGUGUGCCAGAUGUUGUGAAAAACUAAGCAAUUAACAGUCCUAGCAGUGGUCCAUGUGCCACUUGUGUAUCUCAUUUUGCCUUAAAGAUCUUACAGUCUAGACAGAUGGCAUAAAAUACUCCAACAGAACAAAAAAGUGUCCAGCCUAACACUUGGAAAAGUUUUUGGUUUUGGUUUUGUUGGGCUCUUUUUUUUUAAUACAGGAUUACUGACUGGUUUUUUCUGCUCUUUUAAUGCAUUAGGCCUUCUGGUUCCCAAUAUCUGAUACAACCCUAUUAGAUCAAAAUGUUUCCCUGUUCUUCUCUUACUUUUCUGUACAUUUGCUUUCCACCAUAAAACAGUGGACAAUUUUUUAAUCCAUGAGCAGAAGAUGAAGUGUUUUACACACCAGAAAGCAUGGCCAUCUUCACUACACUCCAAUUACUUCAUCAGUAAAAUGAAUUUAUUAUUUUCUUAUUCUCCAGUCAUAAGUAAGUUCUGAGGUAUAAAAGAGACAAAUACCAGAAUUCUGGCUAGGCUGGAACUCAGGUUUCAGUGUAUUUAUCUUUCUAACUUUGAACAGCAAUUUUUACUUUCAGCUAAUUCAAAGGCAGACUUUGGGAUCUAAAAGCCAAGGAGAUUUUGGUAGGUAGGGUAUUUUGUGCUCAAAUGGGGAAAGUAAUGCAAACAUGUAUAGGUUAUAUCCAACCAGCAGCAUUUUUCAUGCUUAUGAUAUUUUCUUACUUUAUGCACAAACAACAUUUUCAAGCUGAAUAUGUAAUAAAAUCCACAAAGUUUUACUUUUCUUUGAAUGAUUGUAAAAUUUCUGGCUUUUCCUUUCCAAUGGGCAAACAUGACAUAACUCUAAUUUAAACAUAUGAAAGAACUUGCCAACUCAGUUUUUCCAAGCAGAUGAAUCUUCUUGAAAGGACAAAACUUUUAGUUAAAGCUUCAGAAAUGAAACUUUUGGAAAUGUGAUAAAACAGAUUAAGAACACACCAUUUUACUCCCUACAUAACCUGUGUCAUCAGCUCUCCCAUAAAAGUGCUCACUUUUCUUCUGCAUUGUUUCUCAAGUUUUAGGUGAGUAGAAUCUUUUCAAUACACCUGAGGAGUAAUUAAUACAGCCAGUACAGUAUAACUUCUAAUGUUUAUAACAUAAAGCAUAACUUCUAGUGUUUAUAAUUGUGCACCACAGGUCUAUCACUUCGUGGAAAGACAAUUUAUUCUUGAUAAAUUUAUCCUUGAUAUUUAUCCUUGAUAAAAGAGCAUAGAGCACCCAACUGUAGCAGUACUCAUGAAAAAUGUCAAGGGGUAUGAGGGUUGCCUGAAGUUGCUUGUAUUCAGCUUUCCAUGUGACAAUAAUAACCAUAAUUAAACUUCAUUGCAUGAAUAAUUACAACUUACAUACAGAUUGAGGAAAAAAAAUAAGCAU
ensembl:lncRNA